GCGUUAAGUGUUCCGCCUGGGGAGUACGCACGCAAGUGUGAAACUCAAAGGAAUUGACGGGGGCCCGCACAAGCGGUGGAGUAUGUGGUUUAUUCGAUGCAACGCGAAGAACCUUACCAGGGUUUGACAUCCUGCGAACCCCCUGGAAACGGGGGGGUGCCUUCGGGAACGCAGUGACAGGUGGUGCAUGGCUGUCGUCAGCUCGUGUCGUGAGAUGUUGGGUUAAGUCCCGCAACGAGCGCAACCCACGUCGUUAGUUGCCAGCAUUCAGUUGGGCACUCUAGCGAGACCGCCGGUGAUAAACCGGAGGAAGGUGUGGAUGACGUCAAGUCAUCAUGCCCCUUACAUCCUGGGCUACACACGUACUACAAUGCUACGGACAAAGGGCCGCAAGCUCGCGAGAGUUAGCAAAUCCCAUAAACCGUGGCUCAGUUCAGAUCGUAGGCUGCAACUCGCCUACGUGAAGGAGGAAUCGCUAGUAAUCGCAGGUCAGCAUACUGCGGUGAAUACGUUCCCGGGCCUUGUACACACCGCCCGUCACACCAUGGAAGUGGCCACGCCCGAAGUCGUACACACCAGGCUUGA
rnacentral:rRNA from 1 species